ensembl:lncRNA novel transcript
UCUGGAAGUGCUGCCCAAAGACAUGGCCACCGGGGAGGAAAGGAAGAAAGCAGCACAGAGCCAAGUUUGAAGUCCUGGAAGAGAAUCUCCUGAGACAUUGGCUGAGGAACACAGAAAGUUACUUGUGGCAGAAUCUUUCUGGAAUUUUUCCAUUCUGGGAUACUCUGAGCCCAUUUUGUCACAGGUCAUCAUGACUUGAUGAAUGAAUAUCAUAUUGGUUAAUUCCUGCGGCUUAAUAAAAUCCUUUGUUCAAGAA